rnacentral:rRNA from 1 species
AGUAAAUAGAUACCCGGGUAGUCCACGCCGUAAACGAUGUCGACUUGGAGGUUGUGCCCUUGAGGCGCGGCUUCCGGAGCUAAACGCGUUAAAGUCGACCGCCUGGGGAGUACGGCCGCAAGGUUAAAACUCAAAUGAAUUGGACGGGGGCCCGCACAAGCGGUGGAGCAUGUGGUUUAAUUCGAUGCAACGCGAAGAACCUUACCUACUCUUGACAUCCAGAGAACUUAGCAGAGAUGCUUUGGUGCCUUCGGGAACUCUGAGACAGGUGCUGCAUGGCUGUCGUCAGCUCGUGUUGUGAAAUGUUGGGUUAAGUCCCGCAACGAGCGCAACCCUUAUCCUUUGUUGCCAGCGGUUAGGCCGGGAACUCAAAGGAGACUGCCAGUGAUAAACUGGAGGAAGGUGGGGAUGACGUCAAGUCAUCAUGGCCCUUACGAGUAGGGCUACACACGUGCUACAAUGGCGCAUACAAAGAGAAGCGACCUCGCGAGAGCAAGCGGACCUCAUAAAGUGCGUCGUAGUCCGG